GAAUUGAUUGGUGCUUGCAUCAUGAUUUACAUUUGAGUGAGUGGCGAACUGGUGAGUAACACGUGGGAAACCUGCCCAGAAGCGGGGGAUAACACCUGGAAACAGAUGCUAAUACCGCAUAACAACUUGGACCGCAUGGUCCGAGUUUGAAAGAUGGCUUCGGCUAUCACUUUUGGAUGGUCCCGCGGCGUAUUAGCUAGAUGGUGGGGUAACGGCUCACCAUGGCAAUGAUACGUAGCCGACCUGAGAGGGUAAUCGGCCACAUUGGGACUGAGACACGGCCCAAACUCCUACGGGAGGCAGCAGUAGGGAAUCUUCCACAAUGGACGAAAGUCUGAUGGAGCAACGCCGCGUGAGUGAAGAAGGGUUUCGGCUCGUAAAACUCUGUUGUUAAAGAAGAACAUAUCUGAGAGUAACUGUUCAGGUAUUGACGGUAUUUAACCAGAAAGCCACGGCUAACUACGUGCCAGCAGCCGCGGUAAUACGUAGGUGGCAAGCGUUGUCCGGAUUUAUUGGGCGUAAAGCGAGCGCAGGCGGUUUUUUAAGUCUGAUGUGAAAGCCUUCGGCUCAACCGAAGAAGUGCAUCGGAAACUGGGAAACUUGAGUGCAGAAGAGGACAGUGGAACUCCAUGUGUAGCGGUGAAAUGCGUAGAUAUAUGGAAGAACACCAGUGGCGAAGGCGGCUGUCUGGUCUGUAACUGACGCUGAGGCUCGAAAGUAUGGGUAGCAAACAGGAUUAGAUACCCUGGUAGUCCAUACCGUAAACGAUGAAUGCUAAGUGUUGGAGGGUUUCCGCCCUUCAGUGCUGCAGCUAACGCAUUAAGCAUUCCGCCUGGGGAGUACGGCCGCAAGGCUGAAACUCAAAGGAAUUGACGGGGGCCCGCACAAGCGGUGGAGCAUGUGGUUUAAUUCGAAGCUACGCGAAGAACCUUACCAGGUCUUGACAUACUAUGCAAAUCUAAGAGAUUAGACGUUCCCUUCGGGGACAUGGAUACAGGUGGUGCAUGGUUGUCGUCAGCUCGUGUCGUGAGAUGUUGGGUUAAGUCCCGCAACGAGCGCAACCCUUAUUAUCAGUUGCCAGCAUUAAGUUGGGCACUCUGGUGAGACUGCCGGUGACAAACCGGAGGAAGGUGGGGAUGACGUCAAAUCAUCAUGCCCCUUAUGACCUGGGCUACACACGUGCUACAAUGGAUGGUACAACGAGUUGCGAACUCGCGAGAGUAAGCUAAUCUCUUAAAGCCAUUCUCAGUUCGGAUUGUAGGCUGCAACUCGCCUACAUGAAGUCGGAAUCGCUAGUAAUCGCGGAUCAGCAUGCCGCGGUGAAUACGUUCCCGGGCCUUGUACACACCGCCCGUCACACCAUGAGAGUUUGUAACACCCAAAGU
rnacentral:rRNA from 2 species